CGCAUUAGGAGGCCAGGAGGUCCGCUCCAACCUGCUCUUCGCUAGGCAAGUGGGCAGAAGCCAAGCAGGUACUUGGGGCCCCCCAGGCCACCACCACAAGGGCAGGAAGUUCCUAGACAACUGAGCCUAGUGAUUGAACCGAACUCCCUCCCCUGGCUCCGGAGCAGAAGCUUUGAGGAGGUCGUUUGUGGUUUUUAUCCUGUUGGUGCCACGGACUCAUAUGAAAAUCUGAUAAAAGCCCAGAAUACUCUCCUGUGAAAGUACACAAGCUUGGGAUUUACCAACAAUGCCAGAAGGUAAGGGUGCUCUGAAAGCCAGCAACAGGCCCCCCAGGAAAAGAGUCCUAGAGGCACCUGGGUGGCUCAGUCGGUCAAGCAUCU